UUAAGCGACUAAGCGUACACGGUGGAUGCCCUGGCAGUCAGAGGCGAUGAAGGACGUGCUAAUCUGCGAUAAGCGUCGGUAAGGUGAUAUGAACCGUUAUAACCGGCGAUUUCCGAAUGGGGAAACCCAGUGUGUUUCGACACACUAUCAUUAACUGAAUCCAUAGGUUAAUGAGGCGAACCGGGGGAACUGAAACAUCUAAGUACCCCGAGGAAAAGAAAUCAACCGAGAUUCCCCCAGUAGCGGCGAGCGAACGGGGAGCAGCCCAGAGCCUGAAUCAGUGUGUGUGUUAGUGGAAGCGUCUGGAAAGGCGCGCGAUACAGGGUGACAGCCCCGUACACAAAAAUGCACAUGCUGUGAGCUCGAUGAGUAGGGCGGGACACGUGGUAUCCUGUCUGAAUAUGGGGGGACCAUCCUCCAAGGCUAAAUACUCCUGACUGACCGAUAGUGAACCAGUACCGUGAGGGAAAGGCGAAAAGAACCCCGGCGAGGGGAGUGAAAAAGAACCUGAAACCGUGUACGUACAAGCAGUGGGAGCCUCUUAUGCGGGUGACUGCGUACCUUUUGUAUAAUGGGUCAGCGACUUAUAUUCUGUAGCAAGGUUAACCGAAUAGGGGAGCCGAAGGGAAACCGAGUCUUAACUGGGCGUUAAGUUGCAGGGUAUAGACCCGAAACCCGGUGAUCUAGCCAUGGGCAGGUUGAAGGUUGGGUAACACUAACUGGAGGACCGAACCGACUAAUGUUGAAAAAUUAGCGGAUGACUUGUGGCUGGGGGUGAAAGGCCAAUCAAACCGGGAGAUAGCUGGUUCUCCCCGAAAGCUAUUUAGGUAGCGCCUCGUGAAUUCAUCUCCGGGGGUAGAGCACUGUUUCGGCAAGGGGGUCAUCCCGACUUACCAACCCGAUGCAAACUGCGAAUACCGGAGAAUGUUAUCACGGGAGACACACGGCGGGUGCUAACGUCCGUCGUGAAGAGGGAAACAACCCAGACCGCCAGCUAAGGUCCCAAAGUCAUGGUUAAGUGGGAAACGAUGUGGGAAGGCCCAGACAGCCAGGAUGUUGGCUUAGAAGCAGCCAUCAUUUAAAGAAAGCGUAAUAGCUCACUGGUCGAGUCGGCCUGCGCGGAAGAUGUAACGGGGCUAAACCAUGCACCGAAGCUGCGGCAGCGACGCUUAUGCGUUGUUGGGUAGGGGAGCGUUCUGUAAGCCUGCGAAGGUGUGCUGUGAGGCAUGCUGGAGGUAUCAGAAGUGCGAAUGCUGACAUAAGUAACGAUAAAGCGGGUGAAAAGCCCGCUCGCCGGAAGACCAAGGGUUCCUGUCCAACGUUAAUCGGGGCAGGGUGAGUCGACCCCUAAGGCGAGGCCGAAAGGCGUAGUCGAUGGGAAACAGGUUAAUAUUCCUGUACUUGGUGUUACUGCGAAGGGGGGACGGAGAAGGCUAUGUUGGCCGGGCGACGGUUGUCCCGGUUUAAGCGUGUAGGCUGGUUUUCCAGGCAAAUCCGGAAAAUCAAGGCUGAGGCGUGAUGACGAGGCACUACGGUGCUGAAGCAACAAAUGCCCUGCUUCCAGGAAAAGCCUCUAAGCAUCAGGUAACAUCAAAUCGUACCCCAAACCGACACAGGUGGUCAGGUAGAGAAUACCAAGGCGCUUGAGAGAACUCGGGUGAAGGAACUAGGCAAAAUGGUGCCGUAACUUCGGGAGAAGGCACGCUGAUAUGUAGGUGAAGUCCCUCGCGGAUGGAGCUGAAAUCAGUCGAAGAUACCAGCUGGCUGCAACUGUUUAUUAAAAACACAGCACUGUGCAAACACGAAAGUGGACGUAUACGGUGUGACGCCUGCCCGGUGCCGGAAGGUUAAUUGAUGGGGUUAGCGCAAGCGAAGCUCUUGAUCGAAGCCCCGGUAAACGGCGGCCGUAACUAUAACGGUCCUAAGGUAGCGAAAUUCCUUGUCGGGUAAGUUCCGACCUGCACGAAUGGCGUAAUGAUGGCCAGGCUGUCUCCACCCGAGACUCAGUGAAAUUGAACUCGCUGUGAAGAUGCAGUGUACCCGCGGCAAGACGGAAAGACCCCGUGAACCUUUACUAUAGCUUGACACUGAACAUUGAGCCUUGAUGUGUAGGAUAGGUGGGAGGCUUUGAAGUGUGGACGCCAGUCUGCAUGGAGCCGACCUUGAAAUACCACCCUUUAAUGUUUGAUGUUCUAACGUGGACCCGUAAUCCGGGUUGCGGACAGUGUCUGGUGGGUAGUUUGACUGGGGCGGUCUCCUCCUAAAGAGUAACGGAGGAGCACGAAGGUUGGCUAAUCCUGGUCGGACAUCAGGAGGUUAGUGCAAUGGCAUAAGCCAGCUUGACUGCGAGCGUGACGGCGCGAGCAGGUGCGAAAGCAGGUCAUAGUGAUCCGGUGGUUCUGAAUGGAAGGGCCAUCGCUCAACGGAUAAAAGGUAC
rnacentral:rRNA from 1 species